UACCACUUUGUGGUUCAUGACUGGGGUGAAGUCGUAACAAGGUAGCGCUAGGGGAACCUGGCGCUGGAUCACCUCCUUAAGCGAUGAU
rnacentral:rRNA from 1 species